GACGAACGCUGGCGGCGUGCUUAACACAUGCAAGUCGAACGGAAAGGCCCUGCUUUUGUGGGGUGCUCGAGUGGCGAACGGGUGAGUAACACGUGAGUAACCUACCCUUGACUUUGGGAUAACUUCAGGAAACUGGGGCUAAUACCGGAUAGGAGCUCCUGCUGCAUGGUGGGGGUUGGAAAGUUUCGGCGGUUGGGGAUGGACUCGCGGCUUAUCAGCUUGUUGGUGGGGUAGUGGCUUACCAAGGCUUUGACGGGUAGCCGGCCUGAGAGGGUGACCGGCCACAUUGGGACUGAGAUACGGCCCAGACUCCUACGGGAGGCAGCAGUGGGGAAUAUUGCACAAUGGGCGGAAGCCUGAUGCAGCAACGCCGCGUGCGGGAUGACGGCCUUCGGGCUGUAAACCGCUUUCGCCUGUGACGAAGCGUGAGUGACGGUAAUGGGUAAAGAAGCACCGGCUAACUACGUG
rnacentral:rRNA from 1 species